GUGUUGUACAAAAGGAGAGAAGGUUAGCACUCCACUUGACAAGGAUGGAAGAGGCUCUUGGGCCUGAGAACAUGCAUACUGUUAAAGCAUUGCCACCUAAUUCAUGGCAUCUAACCACUGUUUUUA
ensembl:snRNA